rnacentral:tRNA from 1 species
AAUAAGAUGGCUGAGGAAAUAAGCGUUAGAUUGUAAAUCUAAAAACAAGUUAAUACUUUCUUAUUA